GACGAACGCUGGCGGCGUGCCUAAUACAUGCAAGUAGAACGCUGAAGAGAGGAGCUUGCUCUUCUUGGAUGAGUUGCGAACGGGUGAGUAACGCGUAGGUAACCUGCCUUGUAGCGGGGGAUAACUAUUGGAAACGAUAGCUAAUACCGCAUAACAAUGGAUGACACAUGUCAUUUAUUUGAAAGGGGCAAUUGCUCCACUACAAGAUGGACCUGCGUUGUAUUAGCUAGUAGGUGAGGUAAUGGCUCACCUAGGCGACGAUACAUAGCCGACCUGAGAGGGUGAUCGGCCACACUGGGACUGAGACACGGCCCAGACUCCUACGGGAGGCAGCAGUAGGGAAUCUUCGGCAAGGGGGGCAACCCUGACCGAGCAACGCCGCGUGAGUGAAGAAGGUUGUCGGAUCGUAAAGCUCGGUUGUAAGUCAAGAACGGGUGUGAGAGUGGAAAGUUCACACUGUGACGGUAGCUUACCAGAAAGGGACGGCUAACUACGUG
rnacentral:rRNA from 1 species